rnacentral:lncRNA from 1 species
GGCGUCCCGGUGUGGUUUUCGGAACUUCCGGUGAGUUACGGUAAUCGGUAUUAGGAGACCGAUCUUCUUGAAAUUGUUUGUGGGGUUGUGGAUACUGUGAUUAUUAGUUGUGGGUUAGAUACUAACCCGGUGGACCCUCUAUAGGUCCUGUCGACAUUCUUUUACAGUCAGGAGACAGACGCGACAUCCGUACAGGUGGGUACUUCGACCCGACGUCGGUACAGUGGUGCACGCUUGGUGACGGUUUCUUACCCUUACUCUUUUGUUUUUACUAUCGCAUAGUAUAUUGAGCCUUGCACCCUUGUUUAUUCGUUAUACUCUACUCGUUGUUUGCAUGCUUAGUAUCCUAAGUAGGAGUAGAGUAGUUCUAUCUACAUGCGUAUCUGUUGACCUAGUUGGUCUGUUGUUGCAUUCUGUAUCUGUUGACCUAGUUGGUCUGUUGUUGCAUUCUGUAUCUGUUGACCUAGUUGGUCUGUUGUUGCAUUCUGUAUCUGUUGACCUAGUUGGUCUGUUGUUGCAUUCUGUAUCUGUUGACCUAGUUGGUCUGUUGUUGCAUUCUGUAUCUGUUGACCUAGUUGGUCUGUUGUUGCAUUCUGUAUCUGUUGACCUAGUUGGUCUGUUGUUGCAUUCUGUAUCUGUUGACCUAGUUGGUCUGUUGUUGCAUUCUGUAUCUGUUGACCUAGUUGGUCUGUUGUUGCAUUCUGUAUCUGUUGACCUAGUUGGUCUGUUGUUGCAUUCUGUAUCUGUUGACCUAGUUGGUCUGUUGUUGCAUUCUGUAUCUGUUGACCUAGUUGGUCUGUUGUUGCAUUCUGUAUCUGUUGACCUAGUUGGUCUGUUGUUGCAUUCUGUAUCUGUUGACCUAGUUGGUCUGUUGUUGCAUUCUGUAUCUGUUGACCUAGUUGGUCUGUUGUUGCAUUCUGUAUCUGUUGACCUAGUUGGUCUGUUGUUGCAUUCAGUAUCUGUUGACCUAGUUGGUUGGUUGUGCAUUCCGCAUCUGUUGACCUGGUUGGUCAGUUCUCGUACUUUGUAUCAGUGACCUUGCUGGUCGGUUGGACUCUGUGGACCUUGGGUCCAGGUAACACAUUGACUCUCUCGUCAUGUGUUUCGAUCUGGUUGAUCGAGGUUCGGCGUUGUACGUCCUUGUUUCUGGCUUCGGCCUAGGCACCGGUUUCAGCCGAUUUUUGUAUUGAGCAUACCAUCAUGACUUAGUCACAGCACUUGGGGGUAUUCACGACACCGGAUCGGUUUGGCCACCGAUCGGAGGUGUACUUAUCCGGAUGGGUCGUCCUAUGGGGCGGGUGAAUCAGGUCGGUGCAGGUUAGUGACAGGCAGCGCUUGAGGUCUGCGGACCAAUAUAGCAGGUACCAGAUUGGGUAUAUUUGGACUUUUUGUCCGGUUGACGCAUAUAACUAUAGUAGCGGUUGUUGCUUGUAUACCUUCAGUUCUUUCAUUACAUUGUCUUGCUACUAUAGUCUUGUUACAUGUAUACAUUCAGUUGUCCAUUACAGUAGCGGUAGUUGUACUUCUUUUAUAUAUAUGUCUCUUUCAUUUAUUAUUAUUGCUACUGUAUUUCUACUGACCCGUACUGUUGUUUAGCUCUUCCUGAUCCGGUGAGUACUCCUCGCCUUCAUCGGCUUGCGGUACCCACUGGGAGGGGAGACAUGUUUACAUGUUCUCACCUCCCCCACCAUUUUUCAGGUAUUGCAGGCGAUGAGUUUUGGGACGAGACGUGAGGUACGUUCGUAGCGGUCGAUAGAGCUUCCGACCCAGGUUAUCGAUUUAGUUUUUAUCCUUACUAUUCUGUUGUUAUAGCCUAGUUAGUUUAUAUGGUUCAGUUAGAUGAUCAUACUUGAUGUUUGAAUGUUGUGAGCUGGUUGAAUUUGUGGAUUUGUGGAAUUGUGGAUUUGGUUUAUGAAUCUUCAGUUUUGGGAUGUUUGUAUACUUUGUGGUUCUCGGAUUCGUAUUUAUGGAUUUACGCAUUGUGGAUUUCUACCCCUCGAGGUAACUGGUUUUCAAAAUAGAGUUUCCGUGUGGGAAACAGUUUUAAAAAGGUUUUCGAAUGGUUUUUAUGAAUGAUUGAAUUAGAGUUUAAAAACAAAAGCUUCCGUGUGGGGAGCACUUUUAAAUAGGAUGUUUGUUGUAUUGUGCAUUGCAUCAUCCAGCGCCUAAGGAGUGCUUAGAGGCAUGCAUCAUUCUAAGGAUUGUUAGCUGUAUGAAAAUGCAUAUCAUGCUUUGGUUGUUGAUUGGUAAAUGUAGAUUGUGGUUGUGAUCCUGUUGUAUCGUUGGUACGCCGUGCAAAUACAAAGGAGACUCUGUCCGCGUGGACAGAGGAACUUUGUAUUUGUGGCGGGUCUGUACGCCGCGUGGGCCAGGUUGAAAAAAAAAAAAUGGCACGUUUUCCGCAACUCUGUUUUAAAAAGGCUUUUAAAAUCGGCCCCGGGA